AGUGAACGCUGGCGGUAGGCCUAACACAUGCAAGUCGAACGGCAGCACAGUAAGAGCUUGCUCUUACGGGUGGCGGGUGGCGGAUGGGUGAGGCAUACAUCGCAAUCUACUUUUUCGUGGGUAACACCGGGGGAAAGGUGCUACUAAUGCAUAUUCGAUCCUCCUGGCAAAGGCGGGGGUGCUAGGGACUUUUCCGGUUGGAUAUGGCCGAGGCCGCUUUGACUAUUUGGCGGGGUAAAGGCCCACCAAGGGCCCGAACCGUAGCUGGUCUGAGAGGAUGAUCAGCCACACUGGAACUGAGACACGGUCCAGACUCCUACGGGAGGCAGCAGUGGGGAAUAUUGGACAAUGGGCGCAAGCCUGAUCCAGCCAUACCGCGUGGGUGAAGAAGGCCUUCGGGUUGUAAAGCCCUUUUGUUGGGAAAGAAAAGCAGCAGGUUAAUACCCCGCUGUUCUGACGGUACCCAAAGAAUAAGCACCGGCUAACUUCGUG
rnacentral:rRNA from 1 species